CAGUCGCCGCGGUAAUACGAAGGGUGCAAGCGUUACUCGGAAUUACUGGGCGUAAAGCGUGUGUAGGUGGUUGUUUAAGUCUGUCGUGAAAGCCCUGGGCUCAACCUGGGAAUUGCGAUGGAUACUGGGCGACUAGAGUGCGGUAGAGGAUAGUGGAAUUUCCGGUGUAGCAGUGAAAUGCGUAGAGAUCGGAAGGAACAUCUGUGGCGAAGGCGACUAUCUGGGCCAACACUGACACUGAGACACGAAAGCGUGGGGAGCAAACAGGAUUAGAUACCCCAGUAGUCCCUGUCUCUUAUAC
rnacentral:rRNA from 1 species